rnacentral:rRNA from 1 species
UACAGAGGGGGCAAGCGUUGUUCGGAAUUACUGGGCGUAAAGCGCGCGUAGGCGGCCUUCUAAGUCGAACGUGAAAUCCCUGGGCUCAACCCAGGAACUGCGUCCGAUACUGGGAGGCUUGAAUCCGGGAGAGGGAUGCGGAAUUCCAGGUGUAGCGGUGAAAUGCGUAGAUAUCUGGAGGAACACCGGUGGCGAAGGCGGCAUCCUGGACCGGUAUUGACGCUGAGGCGCGAAAGCCAGGGGAGCAAACGGG